CUACGUGCCAGCAGCCGCGGUAAUACGGAAGGUCCGGGCGUUAUCCGGAUUUAUUGGGUUUAAAGGGAGCGUAGGCCGGAGAUUAAGUGUGUUGUGAAAUGUAGACGCUCAACGUCUGACUUGCAGCGCAUACUGGUUUCCUUGAGUACGCACAACGUUGGCGGAAUUCGUCGUGUAGCGGUGAAAUGCUUAGAUAUGACGAAGAACUCCGAUUGCGAAGGCAGCUGACGGGAGCGCAACUGACGCUUAAGCUCGAAGGUGCGGGUAUCRAACAGGAUUAGAUACCCUGGUAGUCCGCACAGUAAACGAUGGAUGCCCGCUGUUGGUACCUGGUAUCAGCGGCUAAGCGAAAGCAUUAAGCAUCCCACCUGGGGAGUACGCCGGCAACGGUGAAACUCAAAGGAAUUGACGGGGGCCCGCACAAGCGGUGGAGUAUGUGGUUUAAUUCGACGCRACGCGAAGAACCUUACCAAGCCUUGACAU
rnacentral:rRNA from 1 species